rnacentral:sRNA from 1 species
GUCGGGUUGGGGAUGAAGUGGUUGACCACCCCGCCGAACACCGCCAGCGUCCGUUUCCCGUCCUGCACCAUCUGCACACCGCGACUGCGGAAUUCCCU